GAUGAACGCUGGCGGCGUGCCUAAUACAUGCAAGUCGUACGGAAAGGCCCUUCGGGGUACUCGAGUGGCGGACGGCUGAGUAACGCGUGGGAACGUGACCCAAAGUGAGGGAUAACGCACCGAAAGGUGUGCUAAUACCGCAUAUGGUCUUCGGAUUAAAGCUUCGGCGCUUUGGGAGCGGCCCGCGUACGAUUAGAUAGUUGGCGAGGUAAUGGCUCACCAAGUCGACGAUCGUUAGCUGGUCUGAGAGGAUGAUCAGCCAGACUGGGACUGAGACACGGCCCAGACUCCUACGGGAGGCAGCAGUAAGGAAUCUUCCACAAUGGGGGCAACCCUGAUGGAGCAACGCCGCGUGCAGGAUGAAGGUUUUCGGAUCGUAAACUGCUUUUAUAAGUGAAGAAUAUGACGGUAACUUAUGAAUAAGGAUCGGCUAACUACGUGCCAGCAGCCGCCGUAAUAC
rnacentral:rRNA from 1 species